GGGCCACUAAGGACCAUGUUUGGUGGCCUGGCACUUCAUGGAGCCCGUAGUGGACCUCCAUCUCAGCCUCCUGCUCAGGGAUGGUGGAUAGGUUACCUGCUGGACCGCUCCAAGUGGCUGGGCCCAUGGGAAAGAGUCAGGAGGGAGCUGCAGUGCCUCCCCUCUGCUGGGGCCAGGGCUUUCUCUUCUCAGUGCCUGCUGUCUUUUUACUGUUUAAUUUAAAUACCCAAACCUCCAUGCAGCUGCAUCCCUGAGAGUAGGAGGGGCCAUGGUUGCAGCUGGGCCCUGUGGGAUGCCUUGGGAAUCUCCUCUCCAUCUCCGCUUCUCCAGAGGCUCUUUCUCGUGAAGCCUGCUGCCAGCGGACACUGACACAACAGCAAGUGGUCUGGACGUCUCAGCCACUUACCAUAAAGGCCAUCCCGACCAUCCCACCGGAUUUGGGGGCCCAAAGGCAGUACCUGGUGCUGGACCCUUUUACCAUCCCCUUCUCUUCUGCAGUUGCUUUGUACUCAUCGGGCUGUGCUCUCCCUGUGGACCUGAUUGAUAUAGGAAAUAAAAGGCCCCUUCCUUCCUG
rnacentral:lncRNA from 1 species